CAUAUAGGGUUAUUUCAAAGUCCAUAUCACAAUCCUACAGUGAGCCUGUAACAGUACAUCGGCUGUCUUUCAGCUGGUUGCCAGCAUACUAUGAAGACCCACCUGCAAUCCAGGUUCACAAUGUUUCCAUCAGUCAACUGGAUGUAAUAAACUGCCCAUGAGGCCAUCUGUGUUUGGAGAUUGAAGUGGAAGUGGACAGGAGUACAGCUGCUGAGAAUAUAUGCUACUUAUUCAUGUAAUUCAUUUGUGUCUGCAAGACCUGCUUGGUUUGGGAACCUUCCUGUUCCCCUCGCCUCCUCAUUUAUGGAGACUGUUUUGACACCCACGGUGUCAUGCUUUCCAGGCAUGAUGUCAGGGACUGGCUACUCAAAUCUAAAAUACGAGUGCCUUUUACUGAACUCAUAUCAAAGAAAGAGUGACAGAAAGAGUGCGCGUACUGUUGGGCCUGAAGGGGUUAACCGGGAGUGAGUACGCUGACCGUGCCACCCAGGAGAUGCUGUGAAGCCGCGUUUCUGUCAAAGGAAACCGUGUUCAAAGCCGACUACAUACUUUGUGGGACCCAGUGCAAAAUAAAAAUAUGAUGGCCCUGGUGUAAGAAUGAUCGGGAUGUCCCAGGCGGUGACAGCAGAGCUUUAAACAUGCAGGAGGCUGGUCGGCGCAGGGGCCCCCGCGGGACGGCGCAGGUCAGCAAGCCCGAGAAGCAGAUCAUCACGCAGGUUAUGUUCCGACUUAACAGAUUCAGACUAAACACCGAUGUUCCCUUCCUUGGACAUAGUUCCUCCUCUGGUAUGUAUUAUAUUACAUUGUCUCCCUAGGCAAAAAGCUUGGGAUCUUCUCGGAUUCCUCUGUCCCUCACCCUACCCUCCAAUUCAGGACUAUUCCUAUUGCUUUUACCUGGAGGACUUUCUUUUCCAGUAAAUCUUCCCAUUCUAAUCACUAUCCUGGUUCAGACACUCAUGAUCUCUCACUCAUAUCUACCCACCUAAUCUAUUUUCCAGAAUGAUCUCUCUAAUGCUAA